rnacentral:rRNA from 1 species
UACGUAGGUGGCAAGCGUUGUCCGGAUUUACUGGGCGUAAAGAGCGCGCAGGCGGUCGGCCAAGUCGAGUGUGAAAGCCCCCGGCUCAACUGGGGGAGGGUCAUUCGAUACUGGUCGACUCGAAGGCAGGAGAGGGAAGCGGAAUUCCCGGUGUAGUGGUGAAAUGCGUAGAUAUCGGGAGGAACACCAGUGGCGAAGGCGGCUUCCUGGCCUGUUCUUGACGCUGAGGCGCGAAAGCUAGGGGAGCAAACGG